AGAGUUUGAUCCUGGCUCAGGAUGAACGCUAGCGGCAGGCUUAAUACAUGCAAGUCGAGGGGCAGCAUGAGUAGCAAUACUUGAUGGCGACCGGCAAACGGGUGCGGAACACGUACGCAACCUUCCUUUAAGUGGAGAAUAGCUCCCGGAAACGGGAAUUAAUACUCCGUAAUAUUAUGAAGUGGCAUCACUUUAUAAUUAUAGAUUUAUCGCUUAAAGAUGGGCGUGCGCCUGAUUAGGUAGUUGGCGGGGUAACGGCCCACCAAGCCUUCGAUCAGUAACUGGUGUGAGAGCACGACCAGUCACACGGGCACUGAGACACGGGCCCGACUCCUACGGGAGGCAGCAGUAAGGAAUAUUGGUCAAUGGACGCAAGUCUGAACCAGCCAUGCCGCGUGGAGGAUGAAGGUCCUCUGGAUUGUAAACUUCUUUUAUUUGGGAAGAAAUGCAUUUUUUCUAAAGUGCUUGACGGUACCAGAUGAAUAAGCACCGGCUAACUCCGUGCCAGCAGCCGCGGUAAUACGGAGGGUGCAAGCGUUAUCCGGAUUUACUGGGUUUAAAGGGUGCGCAGGCGGAUAUGUAAGUCAGUGGUGAAAUCUUUGGGCUUAACCCGAAAAUUGCCAUUGAUACUAUAUAUCUUGAAUGCUGUGGAGGUAAGCGGAAUAUGUCUGUAGCGGUGAAAUGCUUAGAUAUGACAUAGAACACCUAUUGCGAAGGCAGCUUACUACGCAGAGAUUGACGCUCAUGCACGAAAGCGUGGGGAUCAAACAGGAUUAGAUACCCUAGUAGUCC
rnacentral:rRNA from 1 species